UAGGGAAUCUUCGGCAAUGGACGAAAGUCUGACCGAGCAACGCCGCGUGAGUGAAGAAGGUUUUCGGAUCGUAAAACUCUGUUGGUAGAGAAGAACGUUGGUGAGAGUGGAAAGCUCAUCAAGUGACGGUAACUACCCAGAAAGGGACGGCUAACUACGUGCCAGCAGCCGCGGUAAUACGUAGGUCCCGAGCGUUGUCCGGAUUUAUUGGGCGUAAAGCGAGCGCAGGUGGUUUAUUAAGUCUGGUGUAAAAGGCAGUGGCUCAACCAUUGUAUGCAUUGGAAACUUGUAGACUUGAGUGCAGGAGAGGAGAGUGGAAUUCCAUGUGUAGCGGUGAAAUGCGUAGAUAUAUGGAGGAACACCGGUGGCGAAAGCGGCUCUCUGGCCUGUAACUGACACUGAGUCUCGAAAGCGUGGGGAGCAAACA
rnacentral:rRNA from 1 species